CCUACGGGUGGCUGCAGUGGGGAAUAUUGGACAAUGGGGGGAACCCUGAUCCAGCCAUGCCGCGUGUGUGAAGAAGGCCCUCGGGUUGUAAAGCACUUUCAGUGAGGAAGAACGCCUGGUGGUUAAUACCCAUCAGGAAAGACAUCACUCACAGAAGAAGCACCGGCUAACUCCGUGCCAGCAGCCGCGGUAAUACGGAGGGUGCGAGCGUUAAUCGGAAUUACUGGGCGUAAAGCGCGCGUAGGUGGCUUGAUAAGCCGGUUGUGAAAGCCCCGGGCUCAACCUGGGAACGGCAUCCGGAACUGUCAAGCUAGAGUGCAGGAGAGGAAGGUAGAAUUCCCGAUGUAGCGGUGAAAUGCGUAGAGAUCGGGAGGAAUACCAGUGGCGAAGGCGGCCUUCUGGACUGACACUGACACUGAGGUGCGAAAGCGUGGGUAGCAAACAGGAUUAGUACCCCGGUAGUC
rnacentral:rRNA from 1 species